AACCUAAAUUAUUUAUUAUGAGCAAAAUAUUUAAUUUGUGCUUGUAACGUGUCAAUUUCUGACUGAUUUUUAUAAUAUGCCUGUUCUAUUACAAUACAUCCAUAGAUCGAGUAUGAUAUCGCUGUAUUUGCCACACGAACUAAGCCACACUAUGGCAGAUUGUGCUGUGCUAUGAUAUUUAGAUGUGCAAAUUCCAGUACUUAAGCCUUCGUCGCUGCUGAUGUUUUCAAAUCGAGCUACACUUGAAAUCAAUUUUACGGUAAUGUAUUGGCGUAUUCUGCAAUUUUUUUCUUAAAAACUAUAGUCACAAUGAUUUAUUUCAUAAAUAGUGCAAAAAAGUUGAUGCAACCUCCGCGAUUUGCUAAUAAUUGCGAGAUAUUAACUUGGACAACAUAUUUUCUAAUACAACGCCAUAUUGAUUCUCACUACUUUGGGGCUCCGGAAGUAAAUUUGCCCGGCUUCAACUUGUAUGUCAGUAGCACUAUCUAGUUAAGUGUAUUAUUAGAUCUGUGAUCGUCACAGUCAACGUCUAGCAAAUACCCCGAAAUUAAAAAAUGUAAUCACUGUCGUGAUUUUUAUACCACGGCUAAAUGUGGCCACACUAUACAUCUGUCCCCUUUAAUAGAGUCACGGGGAGAAUUCAAAUGUAAAAUUUGUGGUGUAUCGGAUGCUGAUGUCGAUUUAGCUGUUCGCCGAUUUUUGAUAAAACUGUGUACCGAGGGCGUCAUGUUCGAUGUACAGAUUUGACUAUGAUACCUUACCAUAUUUUUGUAAUGUAAAAGUAUAAAUAAACGUUUACAAAAGUUGAA